rnacentral:tRNA from 1 species
GGUAUCGCGCCGGUGUGAACGGGCAACUUUGAUGACGUUGAUCACGAGUAUUACUCCGAUACCU